CCCGUUGCUCCAGAAAUGUCGUGUGGCUGAUAGAUUAGGGCAAGAUGCUGCUCCCCAUAUUCAAGAUUUGCCUCAUGAUAAGGAUAUUUUUGGGGAAGAAGCUUCACUUAAGAAGUGAGAGUGCAGGUGUUCCCUCAGACAGAAAACCCCAUCUCAGAGAUACCAAACCAAAAUCACGGUAAAAGAAACAGCAGAUUGUGGGCAAGGGUAUUGGCAAAGAGAAAAGAAAAUAAGGAAGAGAGUAAAACAAAAAAUUUGUAAAAGCAUUCUGAUAUGGAUUGGGAGUGUGCUUCUGAGUGUGAUCCUCUUUGUGCCAUGGCCUUGGGAACCUGCUCUUCUGCUCAGUCACACUUGCUGAUGGUCUCCAACAUGCUGCAGAAAACAUUUGCCUGAGAAAGAUUUUGGAAGUUAGAGUAAAAGGCCUGCCCUUUAGAAUCACUUUUGCAACACAAAGAGAAGAACUGCAUUGCCAUCCAGGAAUGGUUGCUGAUGAAUUUUUUUGGAGGGCAAAUGCUGACCCGCUCUCAGUGGAUAAUGAAAAACAACACGUUUCUGUUUCAUUUAAGGAAAGGACCCAGUAGCAGGGAUUUCUUUACUCUUGAGAGGAUUUUGAGACUCUAUUCUUUUUUGAGGGAAUGUGGAAGAGAUAUGAGAAUUAAUCCUGCUUUUUCCACUGAUAGGAAAAUCAGUUAUUCAUCCUCUUAACAGCUUCUCUCCACAUGUGGCAAAGUAAUCAGCUCAGUGGUGCAGGCAAGUGGUCGUGAGCAAUUGCAGCCAAAUUCUGCAAUCCAGAAGUAUCUUCAUAUGAAAGAACUACCAGCUUACAUGGACUUCACUUCAGAGGUCAGCAUGUUUAGGCUUAAUAUAUAGAAGACAGGAGAUAUAUACAUACCAUGAAGCAAGCAAGUAAGAAGAAAGCUGAAAAAAGAUAUCGUGUUUAGUAUUCUCACGAUGAACUAUCAAUUUAAAAAUUCGUGGUCAGAAGACUGGCUUUUGUCUCAUGACCUUUGAUGCAUGCACACAUACAG